AGAGCUUGCAGAGCUUUUCCAUGUCCUUUUUGGCGCCGAUGGCUGUCAUCCAGGAGAGCGCCCAGUAGCAGGAGAACGCUGACACCAGGGCAAGAAAUGAGGCUGGAGCCGGUGCUGGAAUAGAUCAGGAGGCCUGCAGUGGUUCUGGGGCAGUUCUGUCACAAGAAGCAACAGUGCACACCCAGAAAAAUAGCUCAAGGCAAGGUCACCUUUAAUACUGAAGCAUUCAGUGAAUAUGACCAGCAGAGACCCCUCUUAAUGAAUCUGCAGGACCAUCAAAAGACUUCCAGGAGGAGGUCACCGGCGAGCCCGGGACAAGACCUGAGCCAGAACUUGUUGGGCCCUUGCAGAGAGAGAAGCAGUAAAUGGUGUUGGAGAGUUUUUGGGAGUGCUGUCGGUGAGUCUUGUUUGGUGCUGUCCCUUUGUUCCUGGGGGGCACUGGCGGAGCGCGCUGGGGCCGCGCCACAUCGGUGCCCAGCUGGGCGCAGGCGCUUGCCCCUUGCCAGCCCUGGUGGGUGAGAGCUGCACCUACCCUGCUGCUGGCAGAGGAGGCAGAGCUGGGCCAGGGCAGCUCCUCCGCUGCGUGGGUGCAGAACUCGCGGGUUCCUCUCUCUCCCCGGGGCGCUCCGGCUGCUGCAGCUCUUUGGCCCAGGCCCCUGAGAGGCGCUGGGCUAUUGCUGGCCCAUGGCUCCCAGAGGUGCCCGUGUGUGGAGGGCCAGGGCGCUGUGCUGGGUCCGGGCAAGGUUUUGGCUGUGACAUGGCCGGUGCCCGUGAGAUGGGGGUGAACUCUCAGCACAGGAGUUCAUUGGGUUAGUUGUUUGUCUGAGGAAAAUGUCCACUGAAUUAGUUGGAGCCCUCAGAUUUCGAUGAACCUUUUUUCUAGAGUUAAUGACUUCAUAGAAGUAAACCAAGUAAUUGAAUCAGUGUGGCACAAAUUUCAGGAGCAGUUUGGGAUAUGCAGCUGCACCUGAUUAUGUUGGGCAGGCUGGUGGGAAGGGCUUUCUCCCAGGCCUGGGCAUCCUCA